rnacentral:rRNA from 1 species
UACGUAGGGACCAAGCGUUGUUCGGACUUACUGGGCGUAAAGGGCGCGUAGGCGGCUUAACAAGUCACUUGUGAAAUCUCCGGGCUUAACUCGGAACGGCCAAGUGAAACUGUCAAGCUAGAGUGCAGAAGGGGCAAUCGGAAUUCUUGGUGUAGCGGUGAAAUGCGUAGAUAUCAAGAGGAACACCUGAGGUGAAGACGGGUUGCUGGGCUGACACUGACGCUGAGGCGCGAAAGCCAGGGGAGCAAACGGG